rnacentral:rRNA from 1 species
UACAGAGGGUGCAAGCGUUAAUCGGAAUUACUGGGCGUAAAGCGCGCGUAGGCGGUUGUGUAAGUUGGAGGUGAAAUCCCCGGGCUUAACCUGGGCACUGCCUUCGAAACUGCACGGCUAGAGUAUGGGAGAGGAAGGUAGAAUUCCAGGUGUAGCGGUGAAAUGCGUAGAGAUCUGGAGGAAUACCGAUGGCGAAGGCAGCCAUCUGGCCUAAUACUGACGCUGAGGUACGAAAGCAUGGGGAGCAAACAGG